GUCGAGCGAACCUUCGGGUUAGUUUGCUCUCCUGCUGAAAAGUGUGAGAAUCUGGCCUCAGGAGGGGGAAAAUGCCUGGAAGCGACCGAUAACCCCCGAUAUGCCUGUUGAUGACCUGAAUUUCUCCUGAGAAUGAACUCGCGUCCGAUUAGCUCUCUCGCGUUAUAAUGACUCCCCGUGGCUUCAAUUAGUAGGUGGGCUGAGGGCUCGAUCAGGCAACCAUCCCUAGAUGCUUGGACAAGACUCCUACGGGACUGGAACUGAGGAAUUUUCCGCACUGCUACGGAACCUGACGGUGCAAAACAUUGUGAAUGACGAAAAACUCUGAUGUGUAAACCUCUUUUCUCAGAGAAAAACAUUCGACUUGACUUGAACUUUAAGCUGCGACUAAUUCGGUGCCGUUAACCGCGUUAUCAUUUGAGUGUAAAGCGUUAUCCGGAAUUAUUGAACUCCGUGCCUCCGCCCGCGGUUUUUCAAGUCUGCUGAUAGUACGUGGAACUUACUUCCAUCAUGGCGCAGGAAACUGAUUUAUUAGACCAUAUGAGGAACCCACGGAAUUACCGUGGUAAUGGUGAUUGGAAUAGAUAUCCUAAAGACUUGCAGAGGCGAAUACAAUCUGCUGGGCCAUUACUGACUCUCAUGAACUAUAGCCAAGUAAGCGAGAGGAAUUAGAUACCCUGGUAGUCCUGGGCGUAUCCGAUGAACACUAGGGGUCGGGAAACUCGACCCCUUCCCUGGCGAAGCUAACGCGUAAAGUGUGCCUACUGGAGAGUAGUCACGCUGGUGCGAGACUCACAGGAAUUGACGGGUGCCCGCACAAGCUGGGGAGUAUGUGCUUUAGAUCAAUGCUACGAUGAAAUGCUUACCGGGCGCAGACAUCCUGCGAACUGCUUAUAAAUUUCGAGGCUGCCUUCAGGACCGUACCGACUCUUGACGUAUGGCAUGAUCGUCUGAUCGAGUCAAGAGAGCUUGCGGUAAGUCCGACAAAGAGGCUAACGACUGUUCUUAAGUGUCAGCUUUGAAAUGUGACUCUAAGAACGACAGCGAGUGAAAACCUUGAUCAUGGUUGGCAUGACGUCAAGUGUCACGCCCGUACACCUGGGGCUACCACGUGCAGCAUGGGGAGAAACAAGGGAGCCAUCUGGCGAUACAAGAAGUCUAUAACGCGACCAGUCAUUCGAGGGUGUCUCCCCAGUAGAGAAUCGCUAGAAUUUGCCGGACUACU
rnacentral:rRNA from 1 species